rfam:Schistosoma rodhaini strain Burundi genome assembly, scaffold: SROB_contig0007961
AUCCAGCUGACGAGUCCCAAAUAGGACGAAACGCGAGUCUUGGAU